rnacentral:rRNA from 2 species
UAAUUGAAGAGUUUGAUCAUGGCUCAGAUUGAACGCUGGCGGCAGGCUUAACACAUGCAAGUCGAGCGGUAGCACA